rnacentral:tRNA from 1 species
GCCGGGAUAGCUCAGUCGGUA